rnacentral:rRNA from 1 species
GACGAACGCUGGCGGCGUGCUUAACACAUGCAAGUGGAGCGACGAACCAGGGCUUGCCCUGGGGCAAAGCCGCGAACGGGUGAGUAACACGUGGGUAACCUGCCCCGACGACUGGGACAACCCGAGGAAACUCGGGCUAAUACCGGAUAAUUUCACCACUCAUAAGUGUGGUGACUAAAGGAGGCUUCGGCUUCCGCAUCGGGAGGGGCCCGCGGCCCAUUAGCUUGUUGGUGAGGUAACGGCUCACCAAGGCAACGAUGGGUAGCUGGUCUGAGAGGACGAUCAGCCACACUGGGACUGAGACACGGCCCAGACUCCUACGGGAGGCAGCAGUGGGGAAUCUUGCGCAAUGCGCGAAAGCGUGACGCAGCAACGCCGCGUGGGGGAAGAAGGCCUUCGGGUUGUAAACCCCUUUCAGGAGGGACGAAGGUUCGGCGGCGAAUAGCCGUCCGGACUGACGGUACCUCCACAAGAAGCCCCGGCUAACUACGUGCCAGCCGCCGCCGUAAAAC